GACGAACGCUGGCGGCGUGCUUAACACAUGCAAGUCGAACGGAAAGGCCCUGCUUUUGUGGGGUGCUCGAGUGACGAACGGGUGAGUAACACGUGAGUAACCUGCCCUUGACUUUGGGAUAACUUCAGGAAACUGGGGCUAAUACCGGAUAGGAGCUCCUGCUGCAUGGUGGGGGUUGGAAAGUUUCGGCGGUUGGGGAUGGACUCGCGGCUUAUCAGCUUGUUGGUGGGGUAGUGGCUUACCAAGGCUUUGACGGGUAGCCGGCCUGAGAGGGUGACCGGCCACAUUGGGACUGAGAUACGGCCCAGACUCCUACGGGAGGCAGCAGUGGGGAAUAUUGCACAAUGGGCGGGAGCCUGAUGCAGCAACGCCGCGUGCGGGAUGACGGCCUUCGGGUUGUAAACCGCUUUCGCCUGUGACGAAGCGUGAGUGACGGUAAUGGGUAAAGAAGCACCGGCUAACUACGUG
rnacentral:rRNA from 1 species